rnacentral:lncRNA from 1 species
GAGCAGCUGCGCCACCGGCUCAGCCUCGCGGCGGGGGAAACCCGAGCUCCCAACAAAACGGUUCCAUCUUUGGCUAGGCCUUUGCCUAGUUUAUCUCCCGGGAGCUGACUUCAUUUCUAAACGUAUAGGGGUUUCUUAGAGGAGCUUCAGAAUACUAAUCAUCGCUAGUGAGGGCACUUGGACACUUUGCUUCACCUCAGCCAGCACCUCUUUUCCCAGCUGUAAAAUGAGAGCUAAUGCUGGCAGCUGUUGGGAUGUCCUCUUCCAGGAAUGGUGAUGAGUUUCCCUGGAUCCAGCCCUGGCUUGGCUGAGGUUUUUCUCACUGUAAGAAGAGGACAAUAGCCUAUGAUCUACAGUGCCCAUUCCAACUCAGAGAAUCUUUACAUCUGGAGAUCUAUAGCAGGGCUAUCCCUAGUGACAUGCGUGAAGAAGCUUGGAAAUGGUGCUGGGUAGGAGCUGAGUGUGCAGAAUGUGGAAAGGCAUUCUAAACCAAAGGAAGAACACGAGUAAAGAUGAUGAAGCAGGGAUAAGGCUAAAAUGAAAUUUGUGAUCUGAUCCACAUACAAGCACAGUGUAGUACAGCUGGAAUAUAGAGAAGAGCUUGAAGACUUAUGAGCAACUAUCCCGGUACUCUUGGAGGCUCUGCAACCACAGUUUGAGAAACUCCGCGUUCAAAGUUAAAAACUGUCACCUGAAUAGUUAAUAACAUCAAAGAUUGUGAAAGCAAGUAUAAAUAACACAGAGAUUAAAAUAAUGAGGCAGGAUCAGAAAGGGUUAUGGUGGCCAUCCAGACAUAAAGAAAUUAGAACGUU